AACCUCCGCAAUGUGAGAAAUCGCGACGGGGGGAUCCCAAGUGCCAUUCUUAACGGGAUGGCUUUUCAUUAGUGUAAAAAGCUUUUGGAAUAAGAGCUGGGCAAGACCGGUGCCAGCCGCCGCGGUAACACCGGCAGCUCUAGUGGUAGCAAUUUUUAUUGGGCCUAAAGCGUCCGUAGCCGGUUUAAUAAGUCUCUGGUGAAAUCCUGCAGCUUAACUGUGGGAAUUGCUGGAGAUACUAUUAGACUUGAGACCGGGAGAGGUUAGAGGUACUCCCAGGGUAGAGGUGAAAUUCUGUAAUCCUGGGAGGACCGCCUGUUGCGAAGGCGUCUAACUGGAACGGUUCUGACGGUGAGGGACGAAAGUUAGGGGCGCGAACCGGAUUAGAUACCCGGGUAGUCCUAACUGUAACGAUGCGGACUUGGUGUUGGGGUGGCUUUGAGCUGCUCCAGUGCCGAAGGGAAGCUGUUAAGUCCGCCGCCUGGGAAGUACGGUCGCAAGACUGAAACUUAAAGGAAUU
rnacentral:rRNA from 1 species